UACGUAGGGUGCGAGCGUUGUCCGGAAUUAUUGGGCGUAAAGGGCUUGUAGGCGGUUUGUCGCGUCGGAAGUGAAAACUCGAAGCUUAACUUCGAGCCUGCUUCCGAUACGGGCUGACUAGAGGGAUGCAGGGGAGAACGGAAUUCCUGGUGGAGCGGUGGAAUGCGCAGAUAUCAGGAGGAACACCGGUGGCGAAGGCGGUUCUCUGGGCAUUACCUGACGCUGAGAAGCGAAAGCGUGGGGAGCAAACAGG
rnacentral:rRNA from 1 species